rnacentral:rRNA from 1 species
UAAAAUUAAACUAAGGGCAGAUGGUGGAUGCCUUGACUGGUAGAGGCGAUGAAGGACGUACUAGGCUGCGAUAAGCCAUGGUGAGCUGCCAAGAAGCUUUGACCCAUGGAUUUCCGAAUGGGGCAACCCGGCAUAUCGAGAGGUAUGUCACCCUGCGGGGAGCGAACGAGGGGAAGUGAAACAUCUCAGUACCCUUAGGAAAAGAAAUCAAACGAGAUUCCCAAAGUAGUGGCGAGCGAAAUGGGACCAGCCCUAAACUCUGUAAGGUGUUAGUAGAAUAAGUUGGAAAGCUUGACCAUAGAGGGUGAUAGUCCCGUAUAUAAAAACUAAUUACAGAUUAUUCGAGUAGGUCGGGACACGAGAAACCCUGACUGAAUAUGGGGGGACCACCCUCCAAGGCUAAAUACUACUACCAGAUCGAUAGUGAACAAGUACCGUGAGGGAAAGGUGAAAAGAACCGCGGCAAGCGGAGUGAAAUAGAACCUGAAACCAUCUGCCUACAAUCAUUCAGAGCCCCAUGGAGCAAUCCGGGGUGAUGGACUGCCUUUUGCAUAAUGAGCCUGCGAGUUGUGGUGACUAGCGAGGUUAAGGAUACCCGAAGCCGUAGCGAAAGCGAGUCUUAAUAGGGCGUUUAGUUAGUUGCUGCAGACCCGAAACUAAGUGAUCUAUCCAUGGUCAGGUUGAAGCUGGUGUAAGAGCUAGUGGAGGACCGAACCGAUUGGCGUUUAAAAGCCACCGGAUGAACUGUGGAUAGGGGUGAAAGGCCAAUCAAACUUAGUGAUAGCUGGUUCUCUCCGAAAUAUAUUUAGGUAUAGCGUCAUGUUAGAAGUAUAAGGGGGUAGAGCACUGAUUGGGCUAGGGCGUAUACCAAUGUACCAAACCCAGUCAAACUCCGAAUACCUUAUAUGAAUUCAUGGCAGUCAGGCAUAGGGUGAUAAAAUCCUAGGUCAAAAGGGAAACAGCCCAGACUACCGACUAAGGUCCCCAAGUUCUAUUUAAGUGGAAAAGGAUGUGGAGUUGCUUAGACAACCAGGAGGUUGGCUUAGAAG